UAAGAAUUUGGAAGCAUUUUUGGGGCUGUCCUGGUGUACCGGUACACAGGGGAAUUCUUAUUGUUUUCAUAUCCAUACAUGGAGUUGUUACGCAUUCGUUAAUGUUUCGUUCCUUUGUGUACCGGUACACGAGGACACAACCGAAUUUUUUGGGUAACACUACCACUACUAGUCACAAAUUGGCUAAUGUUGUCCCAAACUUCACAAGUGUAGAGACUUGAGAACUUGCCGUUAUCAGAAUUUAAUGCUUCAGGCGGAAGGUGGUCCUAAGUACUAGUGAUGUCCUCUUUGGUCAAUGUUGUAUGUGAUUCCUUCAGCUUACCCUUCACAGCUUUGUGAAACCGAAACCCGUCAAGCAUUCAUUCAAGUCCAUAUGGAUGACAACGCCAGGGAUAUGUUAGUUUGAGGUAAUUCCUCAUUCUUUGUAAUAAUAUUGUGGUCUAGUUCUUUUUUAUAGAAACACUAUCUUUCCAAAGAUAAAAUGACAGCUUCUAGUUGGGAGAACAGUGCUUUCAAUAACGUUUGAAGUAGUUGGCUACCUCGGUAAAGCACCCGCCGGAGAAUUGUAUGAAAAACAAUUUCGCUCUCGUUGGUCCAUUAUUUCCAUCAUAAUAAAAUGGCUUCAAACAGA